CAUGAAUCUAAUGAAGAAGGAACUGCGUCCAAGACACUGGCUGAUUUCUCACUGUUGCCUUCUCUGAGCUGUUGUUGGAGCGUGGUAACAGGUCCUUCCGGCCUAACGAGUCCGCGCUGCCCAUUUUAAACCCAAAUUAACCUACCCGUACAUCUUUGCAAUGUGGGAGGAAACUGGAGCACCUGGAGGAAACCCACGCAGACACGGGAGAAUGUACAAACUCCUUACAGACAGCGACAGGAAUUGAACCCCGAUCACUGGCGCUGUAAUAACGUCACGUUAACCGCUACGCUACCGUGCCGCCCCUAGCAGUGCAACCAAAAAUUCUCAAGGAAGCUUUGAAGGAACAGGUUUUCCGAAGAUGUGGACCUCACCGUCG